CCUACGGGAGGCAGCAGUGGGGAAUAUUGCACAAUGGGCGCAAGCCUGAUGCAGCCAUGCCGCGUGUGUGAAGAAGGCCUUCGGGUUGUAAAGCACUUUCAGCGGGGAGGAAGGCGGUGAGGUUAAUAACCUCAUCGAUUGACGUUACCCGCAGAAGAAGCACCGGCUAACUCCGUGCCAGCAGCCGCGGUAAUACGGAGGGUGCAAGCGUUAAUCGGAAUUACUGGGCGUAAAGCGCACGCAGGCGGUCUGUCAAGUCGGAUGUGAAAUCCCCGGGCUCAACCUGGGAACUGCAUUCGAAACUGGCAGGCUAGAGUCUUGUAGAGGGGGGUAGAAUUCCAGGUGUAGCGGUGAAAUGCGUAGAGAUCUGGAGGAAUACCGGUGGCGAAGGCGGCCCCCUGGACAAAGACUGACGCUCAGGUGCGUAAGCGUGGGGAGCAAACAGGAUUAGAUACCCCUGUAGUC
rnacentral:rRNA from 1 species